CGUGUAGGCGGUCCGGUAAGUCGGUUGUGAAAGUCCAGGGCUCAACCCUGGGAUGCCGAUCGAUACUGUCGGACUAGAGUUCGGAAGAGGCGAGUGGAAUUCCCGGUGUAGCGGUGAAAUGCGCAGAUAUCGGGAGGAACACCAAUGGCGAAGGCAGCUCGCUGGGACGUUACUGACGCUGAGACGCGAAAGCGUGGGAGCAAACA
rnacentral:rRNA from 1 species